CUCCCCUUAACAUACCACACUACACACUUUCAUCCCCAUAUCCACCGGCCCUGUUUCAUCCUAUCACGACUGUCGUGCACUACCCUUCUACACCCUUUUAGGCCUCAUUUUUUGCACUUAAUGGAGGUCUAAAUCUUAAUCAUUCAAAUCGUACCCAUAAGUGCGUAUUGUCUUUUUUAUGUUACAAUUAUUUAAUGGGUCUAGAUUGAUCUGAAUGAUUAGUAUCUGUAGCAAAGUCUUAAUAUCAUUAAGAUGUAUAUUUAAGGAUUUGUAAAAAGAUGGCAGUUCACCAGUUUCAUCCAUUACCACAGCCGCCAUCGGCCUCCAUUAUCAACUACCACCGCCGCCGUCCAGCAUUAUAAACGACCACCUACCACCCAUAAUUCCACCAUUAUCAGCCACAAAUUUCACUGUUGCCAAUCACUAUAGUCGACCGUCACCACCGCUAGUUAGCAUUUGCAAUUAAUCAUCUCCACCAACCACCAUUACCACAACAACUACCAAUCACCACCGACAAUUUACAAUCACCAGUCACCAUUAUAAAUCGCUAACUACCAUCAUCAUUCACCACUACCAUUAGCUAUCACUAUCAUCCACCACAUCAAUAAGCUGCUGCCACUAACUAUCGCCAUCAACCACUACUGCUAAGCAUCAUCACCACUAACUACUAUCCACAACACCACCAUUGCAAACACCAUUCCAAUCGGAGCAUACUAACUA